UACAGAGGUCUCAAGCGUUGUUCGGAUUCAUUGGGCGUAAAGGGUGCGUAGGCGGCGCGGUAAGUCGGGUGUGAAAUCUCGGAGCUUAACUCCGAAACUGCAUUCGAUACUGCCGUGCUUGAGGACUGGAGAGGAGACUGGAAUUUACGGUGUAGCGGUGAAAUGCGCAGAUAUCAGGAGGAACACCGGUGGCGAAGGCGGCUUUCUGGGCCUUACCUGACGCUGAGGAGCGAAAGCUGGGGGAGCAAACAGG
rnacentral:rRNA from 1 species